UCUUUUCUUUUGAUAGGAGAGUUUUUAAAACCAGUGUUAUUUUUGUAAGUUUAAGAGAAGUUUGUGUAUUGAAUUUUUAACAUUAAAGAGCUUUGUUAAACUUAGACUUAAGUUUAGGUCAUUUUGGGGGUUUAGCUCAGUUGGCUAGAGCAUCGGCUUUGCAAGCCGAGGGUCAAGGGUUCGAGUCCCUUAACCUCCAUUGGGCUUAUGUCCUAAAUUGUAAUUAAGUAUGUUUUUAAGCAACUUUAUUAAAGUAAUUGUUGGAAUGUGAAACAGAGGAAGUUAAAAUUUCUGGGUUAAGUUGAGAUCUGUUGAUAUUAAGAAGAAUCUCUAGAAGCAAAAGCAAGCUUUCGAUAAAACCCGAAGUUGUUUCGCUAAAGUGCAAGGAUUAAACAGGAUUGUAUUUUCCAGCAGCCUAUUUUAUAAACGAUCUGCAUUUAGUAAAUAGUUUUUAGUUAAGAAAUAAUGUAGAUUGCUAAGUGUGAUGCC
rnacentral:misc_RNA from 1 species